UUCGAUACGACAUUGCUCACAUUGCUUCCAGUAUUUCUGGCCCGCCUCGUUAUCUGUGCGGGCUUUUUUUU
rnacentral:antisense_RNA from 1 species